rnacentral:lncRNA from 1 species
AAAAGACUGGUUUUUUUAAUAUCUCUAUAGUCCAAGAAUCUAGCACAAUAACCUAGUUAUCAUAGGGCUUUCCAUAUAUAUUUAGUGAAUUCGUUAUUUGACACAAAUCUGUGAUAGCCACUUCUGCCUGCACUUUGAGUCUCCAGGAGGGUGCUGGGAUCACACCAAGAACCAGGAUGCUGAUGGCCCAGUAGACAUGGAAGCCCCAAGAAUGGGAACCAGAAGCUUUAUCUUGAAGGCCAGGAGGGCUUGCAUCUUCCUAGGAUAGCACCGAAAAGAAGGAAAAGGAAAAGCAAUUUCCUCUCCUUAUUAGCGUUUCCUAACCUCUCACAUGUGUAGCCAUCACUUCAGGUGCACCGAGGACUGAGGACUCCAGGCACGGCUCUUUAAAUGAGCCCAGCAGUGCCAGUGCACACCGAGGACUGUAAAUAUUAAAUAACAAGAAAACAAUUAAGUUUCUGGGACUUCUCAGUGGGUGCUUAUUCCUGGCAGUCAUUAUUGGCAUCUGAAGUCCUGGGUUGAGGAAUUAGAAUCAACAGUCCUUUUUCCAUUUCAAUUUUUG